UACAGAGGUCCCAAGCGUUGUCCGGAAUCAUUGGGCGUAAAGCGCGCGUAGGUGGCCAAGUAAGUCCGCUGUGAAAGUCAAAGGCUCAACCUUUGAAAGCCGGUGGAUACUGCAUGGCUAAAGUACGGAAGAGGCGAGUGGAAUUCCUGGUGUAGCGGUGGAAUGCGCAGAUAUCAGGAGGAACACCAAUAGCGAAGGCAGCUCGCUGGGACGUUACUGACACUGAGGCGCGAAAGCGUGGGGAGCGAACAGG
rnacentral:rRNA from 1 species